CUGGUUGAUUCUGCCAGUAACAUAUGCUUGUCUUAAAGGCUAAGCCAUGCAUGUCUAAGUAUAAACAAUUCUAUACUGUGAAACUGCGAAUGGCUCAUUACAUCAGCAAUCGUUUAUUUGAUAGUAACUUUACCCUGGAUAACCGUGGUAAACCUAGAGCUAAUACAUGCGCAAUAUCCCUGACUGGCAACGGAAGGGGAUGUAUUUAUUAGAUAAAAAACCAAUGCGGGCUGCUUUCGGGUAGCUCGGUAGCUGGGUGAUUCAUAAUAACUUGUCGAAUCGUUCAUGGCCUUUUUGAGCCUACGAUGGUUCAUUCAAAUUUCUGCCCUAUCAACUUUGUAGGUAGUAUAGAGGACUACCUAGGUGGUAACGGGUAACGGAGAACCAGGGUUCGAUUCCGGAGAGGGAGCCUGAGAAACGGCUACCACUUUCAAGGAAGGCAGCAGGCGCGCAAAUUACCCAAUCCUGACACAGGGAGGUAGUGACAAUAAAUAACAAUAUAGCUCUUUUACAAGUGCUAUAAUUGGAAUGAGUACAAUCUAAACCCCUUAACGAGUAUCAAUUGGAGGGCAAGUCUGGUGCCAGCAGCCGCGGUAAUUCCAGCUCCAAUAGCGUAUCUUAACGUUGUUGCGGUUAAAAAGCUCGUAGUUGGAUUUUGGAGUGGGGUCGGUCAGGUCCGCCGCGAAGGUGUGCACCGGCCGCUGCCCAACUCUCAGCCUACCGGAAACUCGCUGCGCCGCUUAGUUGUGGCGUGGUUUGCUGCUCGCGAGGGUGGCUGCGCCGCGUGGAGUGCGGGCGGCUAGGAUUUUUUGUGGGCGUGUGUGCAGUUUUCGGGUGUGCGGAGGCGCAAGGGGCACUUCGGUGCUACUCGCCUCGCCUCCCAGGUGCGCAUGCGCUCUGCCUAGUCGCCUUCCGCGUUUUCGGUGGAGUUCCGGUUCGUUUACUGUGAAUAAAUUAGAGUGUUUCACGCAGGCCAGUUGACGCCUUGAAUACUUUAGCAUGGGAUAAUGGAAGAGGACAGCGGUUCUAUUUUGUUGGUUUCUAGGACUGUUGUAAUGAUUAAAAGGGAUAGUUGGGGAGCUCAGUAUUGAAUUGUCAGAGGUGAAAUUCUUGGAUUUAUGUAAGACUAACUUCUGCGAAAGCAUUGCUCAAGGAUGUUUUCAUUAAUCAAGAACGAAAGUUAGGGGAUCGAAGACGAUCAGAUACCGUCGUAGUCUUAACCAUAAACUAUGCCGACCAGGGAUUGGGAGACGUUACACGUAUGACUCCCCCAGCACCUUACGAGAAAUCACAAGUUUUUGGGCUCCGGGGGAAGUAUGGUCGCAAGGCUGAAACUUAAAGGAAUUGACGGAAGGGCACCACCAGGAGUGGAGCCUGCGGCUUAAUUUGACUCAACACGGGGAAACUUACCAGGUCCGGACACAGCGAGGAUUGACAGAUUGAUAGCUCUUUCUUGAUUCUGUGGGUGGUGGUGCAUGGCCGUUCUUAGUUGGUGGAGUGAUUUGUCUGGUUGAUUCCGUUAACGAACGAGACCUCAGCCUACUAAUUAGUGCUGCGAAUCCGUACGCUUGUGGCAUCCCCGUCGGUUUAGCGGUGGCGCCUCCGGGCCGACUGCGGUCGACGGUGUUUUUGGUGCCGUUCAGAUUCGACAGCGACUUCUUAGAGGGGCUAUUCGUAUCAAGCGAAAGGAAGUAUGAGUCUAAAACAGGUCUGUGAUGCCCUUUAGAUGUUCUGGGCUGCACGCGCGCUACACUGACGAGCUCAACGAGUUUUCGCGAGCCGCUUCGGCGCGCUCGGAACCUUGGCCGAGAGGUCUGGGUAAACUUUUGAGUGCUUGUCGUGCUGGGGAUAGAUGAUUGCAAUUAUUCGUCUUCAACGAGGAAUUCCUAGUAAGCGCAAGUCAUCAGCUUGCGCUGAUUACGUCCCUGCCCUUUGUACACACCGCCCGUCGCUCCUACCGAUGAAUGAUCCGGUGAAUUCGUAGGAUAGCGAGCAAAUGCCGUCUGGCGACAGACGGUUUGCUUGUCAGAAUACGUGUGAAUCAUGUCAUUUAGAGGAAGGAGAAGUCGUAACAAGGUAUCCGUAGGUGAACCUGCAGAAGGAUCA
rnacentral:rRNA from 1 species